UGCCUGGGAGCCCCUUCCCCACCCUCACUCUGGCUUUCUGUGAUUGCAUGUGGUCCUUGUUAAUAGCCCUCAGUUAGCCAGACCCGUUCCUUGGUCCAUCACCUGGCUACUUGCCUCAAAUAGGGCAGAGGUCUGUUGUGACAUGUGUGUGCUCAGCUGCUUCUGACUCUUUGUGACCCCACGGACUUCAGCCCAUCAGGCUCCUCUGUCCAUGGGAUUCGCCAGGCAAGAGUACUGGUCACCAUUUCCCUCUCCAGGGGAUCUUCCCGACCCAGGGAUCGAACCAGCCAUCUCCUGUGUCUCCUGCAUUGCAAGGGAUAGAUGAUCUGGUCUACAGAAGCGGUCUGAUGAAACCAAUGGACGGAAAGUGGGGCAAACUAUUCAGAGACCCAGCACAUCCUGCGCCCUUAGAGACAACGUGAGGCCCUGUCAACUGAAGGAAGAAAAGGCAAGGAGGAAGCUGGGGGUUCAGGGCAGGCGCAGCCUUCUACCUGUGCCCCUCCUGAGUUUCCC
ensembl:lncRNA